rnacentral:rRNA from 1 species
CCCGCACAAGCGGUGGAGCAUGUGGUUUAAUUCGACGCAACGCGAAGAACCUUACCAGGGCUUGACAUCCCCUGACCGUCUAUGAAAGUAGGCUUUCUACCUUCGGGUAGACAGGGAGACAGGUGGUGCAUGGUUGUCGUCAGCUCGUGUCGUGAGAUGUUGGGUUAAGUCCCGCAACGAGCGCAACCCUUACGGUUAGUUGCCAGCGGGUUAUGCCGGGCACUCUAGCUGAACUGCCGUUGACAAAACGGAGGAAGUGGGAUGACGUCAAAUCAUCAUGCCCUUUAUGUCCUGGGCUACACACGUGCUACAAUGGCCUGUACAGAGGGAAGCGAAAGGGUGACCUGGAGCGAAUCCCAAAAAGCAGGUCUCAGUUCGGAUUGCAGGCUGCAACCCGCCUGCAUGAAGUCGGAAUCGCUAGUAAUCGCAGGUCAGCAUACUGUGGUGAAUACGUUCCCGGGCCUU